rnacentral:lncRNA from 1 species
GAGUCUGCAAAGUCGCUGAGGUUCUGGGACAGCGCGGCGUCACCGAGCGUGAGCCUUCCGCCCGGGGACGCGGCCGCCACAGCUCGGGACGCGGGGAGCGCGGCCGGCGCGAGCUCAAGACCCGGCCCGACGUGCUCACUGCGGCAGCGGCGCCUCCUGGACGGGGACCCAGGGCCCGGACCGCGCUCUUCCCGGGGGCGCCGCCGAGCCCUCGUCCCUGCCGGGCCCGGCUGCCGCAGGUGCGUGGGCGAGCGAGGCGGCUGCGUCCGCGGGCCCCGGCGUGGGGUCGGGGGUUGAGUGGGCACGUGGUUCUUUCUGGGGUGACGAGAAGGUCCUACCGUCGUGGGGAUGGUCCUGCCUCUCUCGGUGAAGUUACUCACUCGGAACGGGUGAGCUUUGUGAUACGUGCUCUGCGUUCAGUAGCGCUGUUACAGUCGUAAGUAAAAGCAGUAACGUCAGCGCCGACCCAGCGCAGCCCUCUCCAGACCGGGUGCGGAGCCCGUCACGUCUGCCCCGCCGGCGAGGAGCAGAGCCCGGCAAGAACCCUCCUCCAGAGGGGCCCCGACCAGGGCUGUGCCUCCGGGAGCAGGUGCUGCUUACACAGAGGGACGCCAGGACGGGCAGCCCCACACCUCCAGUGACCUCCCGUCCCCCAGAGCUGAAGACAUGGCCUGACUAAGCGGCGACCACAUCGACGCACCAGUUUUUUCUUUUUUGAAACAGGGUCUCCCUUUGUCGCCCAGGCUGCAGUGCAGUAGCGCGAUCUCGGCUCACUGCAGCCUCUACCUCCCCGGCACAAGCGAUCCUCCAGCCUCAGCCUCCCGAGUAGCUGGGACUACAGGCGCCACCAUGCCCGGCUACCUUUUGUAUUUUUUGUAGAGAUGGCGCCUUGCCAAGUUCCCCAGGCAUUAACCCGGAAACAACCUGGCGGGUCAGGGAGAGCCUCUUCUGCUCAGAGGUCAUUGUGCCCAGACUUGAGCCCUGGCUGUGAAGUCCCUGAGGCCCCUCACUCCAGGGACGGGAAGCACCAAAGAUGUGAUGUUUCCUCCUCGGUUUCUGAGACUGCCUGGAAGCGGGGGGUGGAUAGUGGUGAGCAGCCGUCUCCUCCUUUCCUGAGAACAUAAAUCAGAAACGCUUUCUGAGGCCGGGCACGGUGGGUCAUGCCUGUAAUCCCAGCACUUUGGGAGGCUGAGGUGGGUGGAUCACCUGAGGUCAGGACCAGCUUGGCCAACAUCGUGAUAACCCCCUCUCCACUGAAAAUACAAAAAUGAGCCAGGCAUGUUGGUACGUGCCUGUAAUCCCAGCUACUUAGGAGGCUGAGGCAGAAGAAUUGCUUAAACUCGGGAAACGGAGGUUGCAGUGAGCUGAGAUUGUGCCACUGCACUCCAGCCUGGGCUACAGAGUGAGACUCUUGUCUCAGGAAAAAAAAAAAAAAAAAAGUGCCUCAAAAAUAAACAAUUAAAAAUGUUCUUAUGGUCUUCACAAAAAUAAACUUUUUUAAAAAAGAAAAACAAAGUAAAACGCUCUCCAGACCCAGCCGUGGGCCACUGCUGCCUAGUUCCCACCUCCUGGGACAAGAAAGGGUCAUCCCCUGGCUGAUGAAGAAGUCAGGUUUCUCCCACUGGAGCUGCCCACCACAGCCUGUGGACACAGCCCUGUCCUGGGUUCCUGGGUUCAGGAACCUUUCCAUAGGGUGAGAUCCUUGGAAAGCUGCUGUGCCCUCUGACCUCCCAGCCUCCGAGCAGAAAAGUGUCCCAGGGAACCCAGAUGGGUCUAGGGCAGCAGGCCCAGUGAAGGGAGGGACGGACUCUGGGGCAGCAGGCCCAGUGAAGGGAGGGACGGACUCUGGGGCAGCAGGCCCAGUGAAGGGAGGGAUGGACAGAGGGGUGCCAUCCUCUGGCAUCCAGGCCUUGUGGACCGAGGGGCAGCUGCGUGCACUUACGCAGGGUGUCCUGGGGUCCACCAUGGCCAAGCCAGGCCUGGGCAGGGGCAGGACACCAUCCCUGCAGCUGAGAGAUCUCAGGCCAGGGACAGGGCAGCCAAAGACAGUGGAGUGUGGGAAGAGACCUCCACCCAGAAGUUUGGGGUGAGCCACCACCUGGGCACCCACUUGUUGAGCAGUCAGGGUAUUUCUGGGCCCAUCUCGGAGGCCUGAGCAGUGUCUGGUGGAGACCCUGACAGCCCCCUUCUGCCACACCCCACACUCAAUGGCCAUGGCAGAGACGGGCCAGGACACUAAGCGGAGCCUCUGUCCAAGUGAGGGGCUUGGGAGACAAAGGGAGCAGUUUGGGGUGUCCACCCUGCCCCCGGGGAGCCCAGCAGCCGCCGGGAUGUCCUCAAAGUCCUGCUAAGGGGGUGGACAGUUGCCCAGUGGGGCAGACAAGCCUUGGCCCCUGAAGCCCUGUGCCCAGGGAGCACCUACAAGUUUCAGCUACUCAGGGACCCCCCCCAGUCCUGGCCUGCUGCCAAGGGGAGGCCUCACUCACAUCCCAUGAGUGGACAGAGCCAAUCACCUUGGUGGACACAGCGUGCAGUGGAUGAGGGCAGUGAGGGAUGGAGCGUCAACAUGGUCCCAUUUCUGUGGACAAAUUAAUGACAAGGGAAUGUAGCUUUGCAGCGGAAAAUCCUGCAGACAAGACCUCGACCAAGUAGUCACGUUGGCAUCACUGGGAUGAACAGGUGGGCUCUGUGUGCCACCCUGGGUGGUGCCCUCUGCUGCUGCCACAAGCAUGAGUGGCAUCUCAUCAUGAGGGUCACCAGCAGACCCAGCCAGGGACACUCCUGAGUAACGGGCUCCAUCCCUAAGCCCCCAGAGGCUUUGGAGACUGGCCCAUGACACGUGGGACACGCUGGAAUGGGGUCGGUGGCUUGGACGGCAUCCCUGCAAAAGCCCCGGGUUUGAGCACCGCACUGGCUGCCUUGUUCUGAGGAAAUGCACGCUGAAAAUUCCAGAGCCAAAAUGGGCAGCUGACUCAAAUGGUGCAGAAAAACAUAAAGAAUGUGCUGGCUGGGCCCGGUGGCUCACACUUGUAAUCCCACCACUUUGGGAGGCCGACGCAGGCACAUGGCUUGAGCCCAAGAGUUUGAGACCAGCCUGAGUAACACGGUGAAACCCCAUCUCUACUAAAAGUACAAAAAUGAGCCAGGCGUGGUGGUGGGUGCCUGUAAUCCCAGAUAGUCAGGAGGCUGAGGUGGGAGAAUCACCUGAGCCCAGGAAGGUUAAGGCUGCACUCCAGCCUGGAAAAUAGAGACCCGCUCUCAAAAAAAAAAAAAAAGAAAAAAUGUGAAAACAUACACAUGGCAUGUGGUCGUGGGGGGAUGUAGGUGAAGGGUGCUGGAAGCAUCUGUGUUAUUCUCACAGCAUUUCUGUAAGUCUGAAUCUGUGAAGUACUGGUGAGACCCUUCUCUGUGGGCGGCCCCAACUCUGAAAGGGAAGGUGUCUGCUUCUGAGGGUGCCCUGAGGGUCCAUAAAUGGUCCUGGGCAGGCCUUGGAAAAGCUCCAGCCCAUUGCCCUGUCUGGGUCGGCAAGGCAGGGGGGACCAGAGCUCUGGUGGAGGGAUGAGGGGCACCCCACAGGUGUAGGCUGUCUCCAGGCAGGGGCUGUGCAGCAAGGACAGACGGAGCCUGCAGGUGCAGGCGGCACCUCUUGGUGGCUGCGAGUGGCUGGGGUGACGGUGUUCCAUUGGCCAGCUCUGGCGCCAAACCUAGCUGGCCCUCGGGAUAGGCAGUCAGCCCAGUGCCCAGCAGAGGGGGUGACCGCUGCCAGGCACGACCCAUGACAUGGCCAUCACAGAGCAGUGGACUGAGCUGUGUCAAGACCUUGACCUGGUGGAAGCCCCAGGAGGCGUGGCAGCCCAGCUCCCCUCCUGAAGCGGACUCGGGCUCACAGGGAACACCCGC